GAGUUUGAUCCUGGCUCAGAACGAACGCUGGCGGCGUGGAUAAGACAUGCAAGUCGAACGAGAGAAUUGCUAGCUUGCUAAUAAUUCUCUAGUGGCGCACGGGUGAGUAACACGUGAGUAACCUGCCCCCGAGAGCGGGAUAGCCCUGGGAAACUGGGAUUAAUACCGCAUAGUAUCGAAAGAUUAAAGCAGCAAUGCGCUUGGGGAUGGGCUCGCGGCCUAUUAGUUAGUUGGUGAGGUAACGGCUCACCAAGGCGAUGACGGGUAGCCGGUCUGAGAGGAUGUCCGGCCACACUGGAACUGAGACACGGUCCAGACACCUACGGGUGGCAGCAGUCGAGAAUCAUUCACAAUGGGGGAAACCCUGAUGCAGCAACGCCGCGUGAAGGAAGACGGUUUUCGGAUUGUAAACUUCUGUUCUUAGUGAAGAUAAUGACGGUACCUGACUAAGAAGCCCCGGCUAACUACGUGCCAGCCGCCGCGGUAAUUC
rnacentral:rRNA from 1 species